rnacentral:rRNA from 1 species
UGGGGAAUCUUGCGCUAAUGCGGGAAACCGUGACGCAGCGACGCCGCGUGAGGGAAGAAGGCCUUCGGGUUGUAAACCUCUUUCAGGAGGGACGAAGCCACUCGGGUUAAUAGCCCAGAGGGUGACGGUACCUCCAGAAGAAGCCCCGGCUAACUACGUGCCAGCAGCCGCGGUAAUACGUAGGGGGCAAGCGUUGUCCGGAUUUAUUGGGCGUAAAGAGCGUGUAGGCGGCUAGAUAGGUCCGUUGUGAAAACUCGAGGCUCAACCUCGAGACGUCGAUGGAAACCAUCUGGCUAGAGUCCGGAAGAGGAGAGUGGAAUUCCUGGUGUAGCGGUGAAAUGCGCAGAUAUCAGGAAGAACACCCGUGGCGAAGGCGGCUCUCUGGUACGUGACUGACGCUGAGACGCGAAAGCGUGGGGAGCGAACA